UACGUAGGCAGCGAGCGUUGUUCGGAAUUACUGGGCGUAAAGAGUGUGUAGGCGGUGCUCUAAGUUUGGUGUGAAAUCUCCCGGCUCAACUGGGAGGGUGCAUCGAAUACUGGAAUGCUAGAGGGUGGGAGAGGUAAGCGGAAUUCCUGGUGUAGCGGUGAAAUGCGUAGAUAUCAGGAGGAACACCUGUGGUGUAGACAGCUUACUGGACCAUUUCUGACGCUGAGACACGAAAGCGUGGGUAGCAAACGGG
rnacentral:rRNA from 1 species